rnacentral:rRNA from 1 species
AGACCGAUAGCGAACAAGUAGAGUGAUCGAAAGAUGAAAAGCACUUUGGAAAGAGAGUUAAAAAGCACGUGAAAUUGUUGAAAGGGAAGCGCUUGCAACCAGACUUGUCGGCGGUGUUCCACCGGUCUUCUGACCGGUUCAUUCGCCGUCGGCAGGCCAGCAUCAUCUGGGGCCGCUGGAUAAAGGCGGUGGGAAUGUAGCUCCCCUCGGGGAGUGUUAUAGCCCAUCGCACAAUACAGCGCGCCCCGGGUGAGGUCCGCGUCUCGGCAAGGAUGCUGGCGUAAUGGUUGUAAGCGGCCCGUCUUGAAACACGGACCAAG